rnacentral:rRNA from 1 species
CAACAGGGAUUGCCUCAGUAACGGCGAGUGAAGCGGCAAAAGCUCAGAUUUGAAAUCUGGCGUCAUUUUGGCGUCCGAGUUGUAAUCUGUAGAGGAGUAUUCGAGUGUGGAUUUGGCUUAAGUUCCUUGGAACAGGACGUCAUAGAGGGUGAGAACCCCGUUAACGGCCUAUGUCUUAUGCUCAUGUGAAUCUCCUUCAACGAGUCGAGUUGUUUGGGAAUGCAGCUCUAAAUGGGUGGUAAAUUCCAUCUAAAGCUAAAUACUGGCAAGAGACCGAUAGCGCACAAGUAGAGUGAUCGAAAGAUGAAAAGAACUCUGAACAGAGAGUUAAAUAGUACGUGAAAUUGUUGAAAGGGAAGCACUUGCUACCAGACACGCCUGUAGUUGAUCAACCUUCAUUUUUGAUGGUGCACUCGGCUAUAGGUGGGUCAGCAUCAGUUACAACGGUGGGAUAAAGGCCUUGGGAAUGUAGCUUCCUUCGGGAAGUGUUAUAGCCCUUGGUGUAAUACCAUCUGAUGUGACUGAGGCCCGCGCUUCGGCGAGGAUGCUGGCAUAAUGGUCGUAAGUGACCCGUCUUGAAACACG